AUCGACUUCAUUCACUAAAUACUAAAUUUGGAAUGACGCAGACAAUAUUAGCAUGGGUCCUGCGCACGAAUGAUGUGGAAAUUCAUGGAGCAUUCCAUAUAUUA